CGAAACGCUCCUGGGUUACCUCUCCCAGUCUUCCCUACGUUUUUCCUCGCCAGGGGCAGGUGAAAGUAGCCUCAGCUUAUCUCAGCUGGAGAUUUUUCUUUCUAAAUGCCGCCUAUCAGGAGUAGAUUGUGAUUUCCUGAUUAGGAAGCACACUAUCUUAAGCACUAUACGCUCCAGGAGACCAGGGAUCAUUUCUGACUUGUUCGCUGCAUUUUAGCAGUUACCUGGAAGAGUGCCUAGCACAUAAAUAGGAGGUGGGACUGGAGGUGCAUUCCGUUAAGAGCUGCUCAAGUAAGAAAAGCUGGCAAGAACUAGAUAGACAUGACUAUGUAGGUAAAUAGGAAAAUAAAAACCAGUGUGUGGUGUCCCCUGUCUCGUUCUUUGUUGAUGGAUACCUGGAGGGAGGUGAGAAGUGAGGAGGAGGACUCAAGAUGGUGCUGUGAGAACAACCCAGGAUUGAGGCUCUCGCUGGAUGCGUGGAGAGGGAACUUCCAAGGUGAUAAAGUUUUUUGUUGUACCCCAAACUCAACUCAACAUGAAUUUCUUUCUGAAGACAUAUUUCACUCUUCAGGCAGAAUUAGAUUACCUCAUCUUUGCUCAUGAAGCUAUGAGUUUGAAAUUCAUUAAAGAUAACAUUUAUUACAUUGUACUAAAACUGUUGGUUUAUUUAUAUGAUAUUUCAGUCAUCUAUGAGUUAUUUGAGAUUAUCUUUGCGUGACUAUAGCCUAGAAUGGUCCCUGGCAUAUGCACACUUGUAUGCAUGUUGUACUAGAAUGCUAUUGGGCUCCAACUAUUUGCAGGCUUAACAGUGCAAAUCGAUGAUGUGUGGCAGUCCAUGAUCUUAGUCCAUGAUCUUAGUCCAUGAUAUAAGGUUCAGUAGACUGUAAACUCUCAAGAACAAAGACUUGCCCUUCACUUCUCUGUAUCCUUAGCUUAAUACUGUGCUGAGGAAUUGCAAGGGUGAAUGUUGUGAAUUAGGCAGACAUAAUCACUAAAGUCAAAGAUUUUUUUAAAAAUCCCUGGCAAGAAUUUCCAAGAAGUAUGAGGACAUUCAGCUAAUUUCCUUGAUAGUAUCUUUUACCCCAAAUCGUCUAAUCUUAUAUAGGAUUCUUCCCCUGAACCAAGACCAGACUCCCAGAAACCCUGAACUAAGCUACCAUUUGUCUUAGAAAAAAGCAAUUAAUUGUUGCUCAAACAGUUGGUACCACUUGUCCAAAUCCUUGUAACUUACCUGAAACAUUAACUCUUGAAAGUAAUAGCUUGUGAAUAAUAGUUAAGGAGCACAUCAUAUGAGAAUAUGCACAUUUAAAUAAUGAACCCCUGGAGAUGUCUGGCAGUAGAGGAAAACUCUGUAAUGGCAUGAGUGUCAGACUCUGUGAUAGGCAGUAGGGAUGGGUAAGUGGGACUUUAGACACCCUAAAUUACCUAGACUCAGGUGACAUUCUCUUCUGCCAGUCUUAUUCUUAGGCAAGUGCACACACUCACAGUAGCAAGUCAGCAAGGGGGAAAAUAGAAUGUCACCAAUUUUGAUAAUUGAAAAAACAUCUCACAUCAUCAUGUUGUGACCCAAAUAAGGGAAGAUACAUUUUUUAAAUUGCUAUUUCAAUAGAUUUGAGGAUACAAGUGUCUUUUGUCACAUAGAUGAAUUCUAUAGUGGUGAAUUCUGAAAUUACAGUGCACUUGUCACCAGGUAGUGUACUUUAUACCUAAUGUGUAGUUUUUUAAUUCCUAUCCUCCUCUCUACCCUCCCCUUUAUACAUCUCUAAAAUCCAUUAUACCGCUCUGUAUGCCUUUGUGUACUCAUAGCUAAGCUUUGUUUUUCACUCCUGUGUUACUUCACUUAGAAUAAUGGCCUCCAGCUCCAUCCAAGCUGCUGCAAAAGACAACAUUUGGUUCCUUCUUAUGGCUGAGCAGCAUUCUGGUGUAUAGUUACCACAUUUUCUUUACUCACUCAGUAGUUGAUGGGCACUUAGGUUGGUCCCACAUCUCUGCAAUUGUGAAUUAUGCUGCUAUAAACAUACAUGUGCAAGCAUCUUUUUCAUAUGACUUAUUUUCCUCUGGGUAGAUACCUAGAGUGGGAUUGCUGGAUCAAAUGGUAGAUCUACUUUUAGUUCUUUAAAGAAUCUCUAUACUGCUUUCCCUAGAGUUUGAACUAAUUUACAUUCCCACCAGCAGCAUAUAAGUGUUCUCAUUUUUCCACACCCAUGCCAACAUUUCUUGUUUUUUGACUUUUUAAUAAUAGCCAUUCUUGCAGGAAUAUGAUGAUAUCUCAUUGUGGUUUUGAUUUGCAC